UACGGGGGGUGCAAGCGUUACUCGGAAUCACUGGGCGUAAAGAGCAUGUAGGCGGACUAAUAAGUUUGAAGUGAAAUCCUAUAGCUUAACUAUAGAACUGCUUUGAAAACUGUUAAUCUAGAAUGUGGGAGAGGUAGAUGGAAUUUCUGGUGUAGGGGUAAAAUCCGUAGAGAUCAGAAGGAAUACCGAUUGCGAAGGCGAUCUACUGGAACAUUAUUGACGCUGAGAUGCGAAAGCGUGGGGAGCAAACAGG
rnacentral:rRNA from 1 species